UACGUAGGGGGCAAGCGUUGUCCGGAAUCACUGGGCGUAAAGGGCGUGUAGGCGGUCCGCUAAGUCUGAUGUGAAAGCCCGGGGCUCACCCCCGGAAGUGCAUUGGAAACUGACGGACUCGAGUCCCGGAGAGGAGAGUGGAAUUCCUGGUGUAGCGGUGAAAUGCGUAGAUAUCAGGAGGAACACCGGUGGCGAAGGCGGCUCUCUGGACGGUGACUGACGCUGAGACGCGAAAGCGUGGGGAGCAAACAGG
rnacentral:rRNA from 1 species